GCCAGCUUUGCUCCCUAGCAUCCGAGAGAGAAAAAGCUCCUCCCAAACCCCAACCCAACGCCAAAACCCUAACGCAGCAUCGUCCACGGCGGCGGCGGGCAGCAGCGGCGGCAGAGGGCGCUUCAGAACUUCGAGCAGCAAAGACGAUCGUCAAUUCGGAGGAGGACAAGGAGUUUUAUUCUGAUCUGCAACCUGUCACUGGUUUUUCGGACGUUAUGGAAAAAGGUCAGCCUUUGAUACUGAACAUGGACGACAUAAAUCAGGAUUACGACUCAAAUGAAGAGCAAGAGCUGGAAAAGGACUGGCCUGACGAAGAGGGCUGGUAUAAACCAUGCUGGAUGUGUCCGCGAUACUUUUUUCUUCGCUGGUGGUUACGAUAUAGAUAUGGUUAGGGCAUCUGCCUGUACCAGUCUCCGCCGAUCAAGUGAAACAGUGACCACAUCACGGCAAUACACUUAUUGAACGGUCCUCUACCGGUACAACUUAACGAAUACGCGACAUGAUUAUCGUAUCGGAACAGACUUGCGCUGCUUUUGGCACUAUGGAUUUUCACAAUUCUGUUUGUUUGAUGAGUUUUGCCUAUUUAAGUAUUUAUUGGUCAUUGUUUGGCUAAUCAAUUUAUUCC